UAUGUGUUAUAUUGAUAAUUGGUUUGAUAGUUUGGCUUUUAAUAUUGCUGGGUACAAAAAUCAUUUUUCCCAAGCAUUGCAAUAACAAUGGGCCUCUGGUAUCUGUUUCGCCUCAUCGCUGAUCCAUUCAGUAUAAAAAUAAAUUGAGCAGUGCAUUCUGUCAGACAGCAUUUUAUGGAAAAUACAGUGAGGUUGAUAUUGUGCUCUAUUUCUUAAACUUAUCAAGCUACACUACCACAAGGAGACAUUUACUGUGGGAACAAAAGAUUCAUUUGUAAGUACUCCCUUUGGCUGCCAGGUAAGGGAUAUCGAGGAUCUGACAGGUGCAUAGUGUUUAAGGGCAUCAGUCUGGGACAAAAAAUGAAUAUAGAAGAGAUGAAAUCACUGUGUAUUGAGCAGUGGGGAAGGAAAUGAUUUGUGCUGCCUGCUGGUAUAGAAAGGAAUAUUAUGCACAAUAAGAACAGCUCGGUUCCUUAGGCUCCACUCUAGAACUGAGGAUGGGUAAUAUGCAGGAUGCUUUUAUCUUCCCGCGUGGCCCAGGCAAUUAUUUGGUAUUGAUUUUCUGGAAGUUUUGUCUUAUAUGUCAGCAUUUUGUUGGCAAACUUCACAACAUAAUCCAAUCAAGUUGGUACAGAGAUGAGUGUGGGGAGAGAUAAACCCUCUGCGAGCCAGUUCUUUGCGUGGCCUGUAGGUAGCCUCUCUACAUUAAGAAAGCUCUUGCAACCGUGCCUUUCCAUCAGGGGAAUUGUAGUCUUGGGGAAUCCCUGCGCCUGAUUGUGGCUCUCCUCCCAGUAGUGCACUUUUGACCUCUGUAUUGAUUCUGUUCUUUCAUCAAAAGCGCUGAUGUAAUUCCAUGUGCUGGGAUCAUGCCGCGAUUUGCAUUUAGGAGCUGCAACUGUGCGCUGACCCCAAACCAUCUCAUCAGAAUGAAAGUGGACCAAAUGGCAGAUGCGUUUCCCCAUAAUAUUAAGGUCUAUUGUGUCAUUUGGUGGGUUUCUUUAUUGUAUAUCGAAAAGGGCAUAUACCACCCACUCUGGAUUUUUAUUUAAUUCUAAUCAGAGAUUGGGAAGCACUUUAAAAUCUAAUAGGAAUCAAAGGGGAUUUUAUUGAUUUCCAUACCUGGGCCAAUAAGUAACAGUCCAAUCUGUUAAAUCAACACAAAAUAAUAAAAUUGUGUGCAUAUAUGUUCAUAAAUUCUAGUACAUUUAAAAUUUAUCUAUUAUAUUAGUUUUUUCAGUGUUUUCUUACUAAUAUAUAGCAAUCAUGGAGCCAGAGUUGACUUUCUACAUAAAUAUAGUAAAUAAACAUACUAUUUAGUAAUUCCUAGAAGAAAACAGCAAAUAUUAUCAGUAAAACCCAGUGCAAUCUAAAUAUUGACCAUCAAAUUAAUUUUGCUUUAUUUUCAUCUCUUUCUUUCUUCCUGUUUAGUUCUAUCCUCCUUUUAUGUCCUCAGAAAGACUAUGAGAAAGUGAGUUUGUAAAUUUAAGUACCAAAAAAAGAACUUCAUUGAAAAUCAGUAUAAAACUGUGACUAUCAAUAAUAUAUUGUGCUUUCACAACUCCCCUUUAAAUCCUAGUCAUUCUUACUUAUUAAUUGUAAUAAUAAUAUUUACUGACUAUUUAGGGAUGGAGUGAGAAUCUAGUGACGAUCUCUUAUGGAGCUAAGAGCCUAAAUGGAGAGGCAGGAAAAUAACUGCAAAAAGGAAACUGUGUAGACAUGAGACCACAAAAGAGGAAGAAGGCUGUGCAGUACCUGUAGUCCAUAUACUCACGAGAAGCUGCUGCAGUGAGAUCUUCUAUGGGGAAAUGCAUAGAACUGCAUAUUGUGCCAAGACAGAAAGGAUCCAAGUGCCUCUCAGCGCUUGCAGCCUCUUGUGCAGACAUGCAAACACCUGCUGCAUUGCUUACCGGGUGCAUUUCAGCUAUCACUGUUGAUGAAUACGAGCUCAGAGAGGAGCGUCUCAGCAUUUCAAGACCAUUGUCAUGGGGAUAAAGCAGGAAGGGAGAAUCUAUCUAUAUAUUUUCCUCUUGGGCAAUGGAAGUCAGCGCAUAUGAUUCCAUAGCCUUUCAGCUGUCUCCCCUCCCCCCACCGUCUGAUCACAUUAUUCACACAAAGAACCAAUGAGCCGUUUGCCAUUACCUUAAAGUCCUAUAUUAAUGAGACAGCUACAAUUUUUAAUCACUUCAGUUAAGCCUUGAAUAUUCUGUUUGCUAAUAUCAGGCAUCCAUUCAAAAUGAGAACAAGUGUUUUAUUAUCUUUCCUUUGCAAAUAGCAAAUAAAAUAUUGAGUUUUUUUCCGUAAA